UUGCGAUCUGAAAGGAAGAUCUUGUGCAGUAACCAGCAUCGGUAUGUCUGCCAUGAAGCUUGCACUCGUCGCAAUGCUCGUCCUCACAGUGAUGGUGGAGCAUAUCUCAAGUGUGAUAACGCGUCCCCUUCACGAACUAUGUAUCGGUCAACUUUGCAGCGGGCGACGUGACCCAUGGUGCGGACCAUUUUGCGAGUGCAACCGUAAAGGCAGGGCAAGAUUAACAUGUGGCCCACGAAGUGUGGUUGGGUAAAUCAAAGAUACGCCGUGUGAAGGCAUGCCCCACCUGCACACGAACUAAACUUAAUAAAACUUAC